rnacentral:rRNA from 1 species
UUUGAUAAGUCUGAAGUAAAAGGCUGUGGCUUAACCAUAGUACGCUUUGGAAACUGUCAAACUUGAGUGCAGAAGGGGAGAGUGGAAUUCCAUGUGUAGCGGUGAAAUGCGUAGAUAUAUGGAGGAACACCGGUGGCGAAAGCGGCUCUCUGGUCUGUAACUGACGCUGAGGCUCGAAAGCGUGGGGAGCGAACAGGAUUAGAUACCCUGGUAGUCCACGCCGUAAACGAUGAGUGCUAGGUGUUGGGUCCUUUCCGGGACUCAGUGCCGUAGCUAACGCAUUAAGCACUCCGCCUGGGGAGUACGACCGCAAGGUUGAAACUCAAAGGAAUUGACGGGGGCCCGCACAAGCGGUGGAGCAUGUGGUUUAAUUCGAAGCAACGCGAAGAACCUUACCAGGUCUUGACAUCCCGAUGACCGCCCUAGAGAUAGGGUUUCUCUUCGGAGCAUCGGUGACAGGUGGUGCAUGGUUGUCGUCAGCUCGUGUCGUGAGAUGUUGGGUUAAGUCCCGCAA